UACGUAGGGUGCAAGCGUUAAUCGGAAUUACUGGGCGUAAAGCGUGCGCAGGCGGUUGUGCAAGACAGAUGUGAAAUCCCCGGGCUUAACCUGGGAAUUGCAUUUGUGACUGCACGGCUAGAGUGUGUCAGAGGGGGGUAGAAUUCCACGUGUAGCAGUGAAAUGCGUAGAUAUGUGGAGGAACACCGAUGGCGAAGGCAAUCCCCUGGGCCUGCACUGACGCUCAUGCACGAAAGCGUGGGGAGCAAACAGG
rnacentral:rRNA from 1 species